GCCCAUAAAUACAAAAAGUAUGUGUACCAAGGUUCAUAAAUAGGAAUGCCUUCUUUCUUCUUUCUAUUUUCAUAUCAACAUUCUAAUUUUGUUAUAAUUAGGUACAUUCCGUCACACCUAUUGACCUAUAUAUAUUGACAUCGUUGUAAAAUACUGACCAUGCUAAAAGUCCACACUUCUAUCACUCGAAAUCGAAAUGAACUCGGGUAAACUUGAUAAUAUCGUGUUCCUUAGAAACAAAAUAUUUCUAAACUAGACGGCGUUCUAGAUUUGCAGUUAAUAACAAAUUAAACAACACUUGUAAGAAUUUCCUAGAUAUGACUUUAUUCUAUAAAUACCUUAUACACCAAAUACCCUUAGACAAGUUUUAGUCCAUUCAAAUGUUAUGUAAUGUAAUAGUAGCCUAUAAGUUUGAAUUACAAAUAGUGUUCUAUAUUGUAUCAUAAUCCAUGAGGCUAGUUUGACUCAGUGGUUGUUAACUGUUGUUUGUUGUUGUCUGUUGCAGGCCGUACUAUACUGUCUGAAUUACAAAUAGUGUUCUAUAUUGUAUCAUAAUCCACGUGAAUGUGUUACUUGUUAAGAUAGAAUCAUCUCGUUUAUGCUUUAUAGUGGCUUUGACUAGCUAGUUGCACACGACCUGUAAUAAAAAUGUAAUUUUGUCUCUACUGAUAGUUUCUUGUCCAUCAUGUUAUAUACUAGUAGCUCAAGUGACACAGGGCUUGAUUGUAACGAGUACCCCAUGAAGUGAUAGUUUCAUCUUGUUUUAUCUUCCUUUUAUUGGUCACAAAACCAACUAAUGGAGAACCAUUAAUGCUGGUGUAUUAGCGAGCUGAUAACUGGCUAGAUGCAUAGUUUAUAUUUUUGUAUGGAAGCAUGAUGUGUGAAACUGUUGAUGGGGUUAAUCUUAAAUUCCCAAGCUAUAUUUGCCACCGUAUUUAUGCAUGGUUGAUGAUUAAGAGUUCCCUGAGGGGAUCGAUGUUAUUCGAGUUGGUGAUUUUCCGUGUUAGUUAUGUUAAACUUUGUAGGCUCCUUAUCUAAAACAUCAAUUAUAUUGUCCUGGUAGAUGCAUAAGAAUUACCUAGGGAUCGAUGUUAUUGGAGGUGGAGAUAAUUUUUCCCCUUAUCUGGCCAGGGGUGCGUGGGGUUGUCAAGGACAAGGGGACCUACUGCAAGAGGUAAAUGGUUAGUUGCAGCAGCAACUGCGGUCUCGGCCUCGGCUACAAAUCCCUGCUGGUGAACCCCGGUAGACCUAGAUCUGUUGUCGACGUCUUCCGAUGACCACAUCCCGAAGAAAUUGCUAUGAGUAACUAACAAAGGUGUAGCCGAAUGCACAAAAAUUGUGGAGCGCUGCAGGAAGUACGAAAAGUUAUGGUAGAUGGAAGAAAAGAAAUUUGAGUGUGACCGGCUUCAUCGUACUAAAAUUCCAACUCCUGGGGCUUCUCAGAGGCACGCCAGGUCGAAUAACUGGCUUCGCUCGAGGAAUAGGUGGUGGUAUGCCUGGAGCUGGAGGUGCUCCUGGUACUAUUGACCUUGACCUCAUGACAACAUUUGGUGACUCUGAGGUCAUGUCGGCUCUUCAAGACGGUAUGGGUUCCCUCAAGUAGUUCCCUUGUUAUUGUUAAUAAUGUGAUGUCCUGGAUGUUGGGUGCCCUCUUUAUAGUUCGAACUAUCCCUGGUCAUGAGCCCCGCUCCACCUGGAGUUGUUGUUGGCGUCUUGUGACGACCAUGUCCUCAAGCAAUUGCUAUGAGUAAUUGAAAAAGGUGUAGCCGAAUCCACAAAAGAUUGUGGAGCUCCACAGGAAGUACGAAAGGUUAUGGUAGACGGAAGAAGAGAAAUUUGAGCAUGACCGCUUCGUCGGCAUGUCGAGCCAAAGGUUAUUUUCGUGUCAAAAUUCCCACUCCUGUUAGGAGCAUUCUAGGUGUACCGUUUUUCAUGGCCAGAUCUGAAUUCAUGUCAUGUGCUUUCAACAACCUAAUUAUAAGAAUGCCAAGAAGAAGCAAUUGUCGAGCCGCUCAUCUAGAGACGCAUCUUCCAGGGGCUUCUCAUGAGGCACGCUGGGUGGAAUGGCUAGCUUCGUUGGAGGAAUGGUUGGUGGUAUGCCUCGGGGAAUGGGUGGUGGUAUGCCUGGAGGGGCUCCCGAUCCCGAUGUUAGCAUUUGGUGACCGUGUGGUCACAUCAGCUCUUCAAGUGGCUACAGUUUCCCUGAAAUAGUUCCUCCGCUUCCUUUAUGCAAUUCCCUUGUUAUUUUAACUAAUAUACUAUGUGCUGGCUGUUGGGUCCCACCUUUAUGCAACUUGGAUGAUAUGUUUGCUACUUGUGCCUUGUUGCUUUUUUA